AUUGAACGCUGGCGGCAGGCCUAACACAUGCAAGUCGAGCGGAUGAAGGGAGCUUGCUCCUGGCUUCAGCGGCGGACGGGUGUGUAAUGCCUAGGAAUCUGCCUGGUAGUGGGGGAUAACGUCCGGAAACGGGCGCUAAUACCGCAUACGUCCUGAGGGAGAAAGUGGGGGAUCUUCGGACCUCACGCUAUCAGAUGAGCCUAGGUCGGAUUAGCUAGUUGGUGGGGUAAAGGCCUACCAAGGCGACGAUCCGUAACUGGUCUGAGAGGAUGAUCAGUCACACUGGAACUGAGACACGGUCCAGACUCCUACGGGAGGCAGCAGUGGGGAAUAUUGGACAAUGGGCGAAAGCCUGAUCCAGCCAUGCCGCGUGUGUGAAGAAGGUCUUCGGAUUGUAAAGCACUUUAAGUCGGGAGGAAGGGCAGUAAGUUAAUACCUGGCUGUUUUGACGGUACCAAAAGAAUAAGCACCGGCUAACUUCGUG
rnacentral:rRNA from 1 species